rnacentral:sRNA from 1 species
AGUUGGCUACUCGCCAUGGACGAAGCGGAUCGGCGGCUCCUGCGGCGGUGCCGGCUGCGGCUGGUGGAAGAGCUGCAGGUGGACCAGCUCUGGGACGCCCUGCUGAGCCGCGAGCUGUUCAGACCCCAUAUGAUCGAGGACAUCCAGCGGGCAGGCUCUGGAUCUCGGCGGGAUCAGGCCAGGCAGCUGAUCAUAGAUCUGGAGACUCGAGGGAGUCAGGCUCUUCCUUUGUUCAUCUCCUGCUUAGAGGACACAGGCCAGGACAUGCUGGCUUCGUUUCUGCGAACUAACAGGCAAGCAGCAAAGUUGUCGAAGCCAACCCUAGAAAACCUUACCCCAGUGGUGCUCAGACCAGAGAUUCGCAAACCAGAGGUUCUCAGACCGGAAACACCCAGACCAGUGGACAUUGGUUCUGGAGGAUUCGGUGAUGUCGGUGCUCUUGAGAGUUUGAGGGGAAAUGCAGAUUUGGUGAGUCUCCAUGAAAUUUGGGCCAGUAGCUCGGGCUCUGGGCCCUUCCCUCCCCACCCCUCAGGUCCUUCCCUGCAGGCGUGUCAGGAGCCCAGGGAACC